GUUUUUUUUUUCUUCGUGCUCGUCCAGAUUGAUUCUCGUUUGGUGAGUCAUACGAGCCCUUAAGACCGUGGACUUCUCCACUUUUUCAAUUUAAGAAGUGUUUACAUUAUCAAGUGUAUAGUACCACUUCAAUUUCGUAGGACUAAAGUUUUUCACACUUGACGUUAAAGCCUCAAUGGGUUUUUCGCGAUUUUCACAUUCUCUACCUGGUUUGCGAUUCCCAUGUUCUAAGUAAAGAUUUGUUUGGGAUUUAUCCUUGGAGAUUUAACCAGAAAUUGAUGACACUACUUUGACUUAACCGUGAAUUGGGACUGUCGGACAGGAAGCUUCACACAGAAAGUAAAAUAAAUUACCUUGGUGCCUAAGGGACUGAUUCUACAAUUCAUCUAAUAGAAACCUAAGCACUGUUUGUAACUAUGAAUCGUUACUCUUGUAGAAUGCAUUAAUGACUAUAUCUUCAUUUAACUGUUUUUGUUUGAUGCAUGUAAAAUGUAAAGUGAUUGAAGAUACGUUUCAUUC